rnacentral:rRNA from 1 species
AGAUUGAACGCUGGCGGCAUGCCUUACACAUGCAAGUCGAACGGUAGAGUAGCAAUACUCGAGAGUGGCGAACGGGUGAGUAAUAUAUCGGAACGUGCCCAGUCGUGGGGGAUAACGUAGAGAAAUUUACGCUAAUACCGCAUACGAUCUACGGAUGAAAGCGGGGGAUCGGCAAGACCUCGCGCGAUUGGAGCGGCUGAUAUCAGAUUAGGUUGUUGGUGAGGUAAAAGCUACACCAAGCCGACGAUCUGUAGCUGGUUUGAGAGAACGACCAGCCACACUGGGACUGAGACACGGCCCAGACCUCCGUACGGGAGCAGCAGUGGGAUUUUGGACAAGUGGGACGAAAGCCGUAGACUCCAGCAAUGACCGCGUGGCAGGAAAGGACGGCCGUU